rnacentral:rRNA from 1 species
GACGAACGCUGGCGGCGUGCCUAAUACAUGCAAGUUGAGCGCUGAAGGUUGGUACUUGUACCGACUGGAUGAGCAGCGAACGGGUGAGUAACGCGUGGGGAAUCUGCCUUUGAGCGGGGGACAACAUUUGGAAACGAAUGCUAAUACCGCAUAAAAACUUUAAACACAAGUUUUAAGUUUGAAAGAUGCAAUUGCAUCACUCAAAGAUGAUCCCGCGUUGUAUUAGCUAGUUGGUGAGGUAAAGGCUCACCAAGGCGAUGAUACAUAGCCGACCUGAGAGGGUGAUCGGCCACAGUGGGACUGAGACACGGCCCAAACUCCUACGGGAGGCAGCAGUAGGGAAUCUUCGGCAAUGGACGAAAGUCUGACCGAGCAACGCCGCGUGAGUGAAGAAGGGUUUCGGAUCGUAAAACUCUGUUGGUAGAGAAGAACGUUGGUGAGAGUGGAAAGCUCAUCAAGUGACGGUAACUACCCAGAAAGGGACGGCUAACUACGUG